CAAACGGGUUCAUAUACCAGAGAAAUGACUCGAGAGUGUCGAUAAAUCUAUAUCACGCGAGUAACAUUUCUUUGCUAAAAUCAGAAGUGAAUUGCAUAACUCCAAAAAAAUUGGUAUCAUCAGCUAAACCAGUUCGCAUUCUGAGCCACUUAGUAAAAAUGCAUUGCACCUCAGCUGCUCUCCUGUUCCUGUUGGCUCUUGUACAUUCUGGGAACUGCGGUCCAACGAACCUGGCGUCUCCAAUUUCUCCUAUUAGCCAACCUAUAUGUCCGUAUAUGUGCAACGUUUUCUGCAUGCCACCAUCGGUUUCGGUUAACUGUGGAUGCGGAUGCACACAGCCAACCAGUCCGUGUCAGAAUGUGGCUGGCGUUGCCAAACCCGUCCCAUGUGCUAUCGCCUAAUUAAAUACAGUACAGUAGUGGGCAGUUCGUUUUGCAGUUCAACUCACAAAACAAUUAUAGUUUUUAGAUCUUUGUAUGUGCAUUUGUUAUAGAAGUAUAGAAACUGUCAUAAAACUUGUGGAUACUAUUCUGUACAUUUAUUCGGUUGAUGGCAUCCGAUAUGCAAAGUGGUAGAAUGACAUUAUAAACAUUCAGCAAAUUGACUGCAGAUAAACAGCUGCUGCACGGUUCUUGCUUGCUUUAGAUCUGAGACCAUUAAAACUUCAUAUUUGUUUUCAAUAUAAACAAAUGCAGCUACAGUACAUUACAAUACAUUGCGGCAUAAGUAACGAAUCGAUCCAUUAAAUUCCGCUGCUUUGUUUGUUUUUCCGUAAUAUAAACGUACGAGCAUAACAAAUGUUUUUAUCUUCGCAAUAAAUGUACGAGUAUAUUAUAUGAAUUGAUGUUGUUGAUUACGACUUGUAGAUUCAGAAGCACAUGCGCCGGUAAAAACCGGUUAGCGUUUGUGUGUAAUUGUGUAAGUAAUAACAAUUACUGUUGUUUAUGUCGUUCUUCUAUGGCAUAUUCCGUGAAAUGUGUUGUGUUUUCCGUUCAAGGCGCACUGCUACGCAGUACACACAGAGCAAACAAACAGACGUCGAAUUCAUUUUUAUAACGAGUCGCACUGUUAACCAUUCAAUUUCUGCUGUUAACAAGAGCUGAAAAGUUAAUAAAUUGUUUUACGUGAGAAAACUCUCGGUUACCCAAUCUUCCCAAGAAGAUUCUGGAAAAUGGUUUGCAGCGCCUCCAUCGCAUUCACAAGUAUUGGCUUGUUCCUGCUGGCUUCGUUGCAAUCAGGGUACACUACUGACCCAACGAACUUGGUUUCUCCCAUUUCUCCGAUCGGAGGACCAUGCGGGGUUACCUGCAUGAUCGCAUGUGUUCCGCCGGCUGUCCGUAUUAACUGUGGAUGCGGUUGCACGAAUCCCUGUCAGACCGGUGUGAAGGUGCCUGGAGGACCUUGCAAUAUAGCACUACCUCCUUAAAAGAAAGAUCACAUUACCACAGUAUAAUGAUGUUAUUUUUCAAAUAAUACUGCGGUGGUGGUGCAAGAAGAAGCAGGAACCGUAUUAUUUUUGGAGGACUUGAUUGUUACCAAUGUACAGAUUAUUAUAACACAAGAAACGUUCACGGUUUCACCGUAGCGUUGUUUUGGUUCACGGUCGUUAAUUACCAAUAAAGCAUUCGAUGU